rfam:Picea glauca, whole genome shotgun sequence.
ACAUGCCUACAACAUAGCAUUAAUGCAAUAGAUCCCAUUAGAACUUUGUAGUUAAGCACGACCGGGCUAGAGUAGUACUGGGAUGGGUGACCGGCCGAGAAGUCCUAAUGUUUUACAUGCC